UGGGCGGUAAUUAAUAGUGUGUCAGGUUAUCAUUCCUAUAGUUAUAUAUCUUUUAUUUUUUUACCAUAUCACUCUAUUUCUUUUUUUCAUUUGUCAAUUGGUGUCUUUCAUAUUUGUCCUACAUGCAUGAAGUAUUUGCCACUGGACGUUAAGCAACCAACAAUUAAUAAAUCAAUCUAUUCUUUAUAUUUCUUCAUUUCUUUAGUAUGGUAAUUACAGUAUUUGGUCCCAUUAUUCUCUUUUUUGAAAAUCCCAUAAAUAUCCUUAUGAAAGGUGACCCAAUCAUAGCCUCAUACAUGUACAUGGUAAUUUAAACAGAGAAAAUAAACCUUAUAACUUACUG
rnacentral:lncRNA from 1 species